UGGGGAAUAUUGCACAAUGGGCGCAAGCCUGAUGUAGCAACGCCGCGUGAACGAUGAAGGUCUUCGGAUCGUAAAGUUCUGUUGCAGGGGAAGAUAAUGACGGUACCCUGUGAGGAAGCCCCGGCUAACUACGUGCCAGCAGCCGCGGUAAUACGUAGGGGGCUAGCGUUAUCCGGAUUUACUGGGCGUAAAGGGUGCGUAGGUGGUCUUUCAAGUCGGUGGUUAAAGGCUACGGCUCAACCGUAGUUAGCCUCCGAAACUGGAAGACUUGAGUGCAGGAGAGGAAAGUGGAAUUCCCAGUGUAGCGGUGAAAUGCGUAGAUAUUGGGAGGAACACCAGUAGCGAAGGCGGCUUUCUGGACUGCAACUGACACUGAGGCACGAAAGCGUGGGUAGCAAACAGG
rnacentral:rRNA from 1 species